GAUGAACGCUGGCGGCGUGCCUAAUACAUGCAAGUCGAGCGAACGGACGAGAAGCUUGCUUCUCUGAUGUUAGCGGCGGACGGGUGAGUAACACGUGGAUAACCUACCUAUAAGACUGGGAUAACUUCGGGAAACCGGAGCUAAUACCGGAUAAUAUUUUGAACCGCAUGGUUCAAAAGUGAAAGACGGUCUUGCUGUCACUUAUAGAUGGAUCCGCGCUGCAUUAGCUAGUUGGUAAGGUAACGGCUUACCAAGGCAACGAUGCAUAGCCGACCUGAGAGGGUGAUCGGCCACACUGGAACUGAGACACGGUCCAGACUCCUACGGGAGGCAGCAGUAGGGAAUCUUCCGCAAUGGGCGAAAGCCUGACGGAGCAACGCCGCGUGAGUGAUGAAGGUCUUCGGAUCGUAAAACUCUGUUAUUAGGGAAGAACAUAUGUGUAAGUAACUGUGCACAUCUUGACGGUACCUAAUCAGAAAGCCACGGCUAACUACGUGCCAGCAGCCGCGGUAAUACGUAGGUGGCAAGCGUUAUCCGGAAUUAUUGGGCGUAAAGCGCGCGUAGGCGGUUUUUUAAGUCUGAUGUGAAAGCCCACGGCUCAACCGUGGAGGGUCAUUGGAAACUGGAAAACUUGAGUGCAGAAGAGGAAAGUGGAAUUCCAUGUGUAGCGGUGAAAUGCGCAGAGAUAUGGAGGAACACCAGUGGCGAAGGCGACUUUCUGGUCUGUAACUGACGCUGAUGUGCGAAAGCGUGGGGAUCAAACAGGAUUAGAUACCCUGGUAGUCCACGCCGUAAACGAUGAGUGCUAAGUGUUAGGGGGUUUCCGCCCCUUAGUGCUGCAGCUAACGCAUUAAGCACUCCGCCUGGGGAGUACGACCGCAAGGUUGAAACUCAAAGGAAUUGACGGGGACCCGCACAAGCGGUGGAGCAUGUGGUUUAAUUCGAAGCAACGCGAAGAACCUUACCAAAUCUUGACAUCCUUUGACAACUCUAGAGAUAGAGCCUUCCCCUUCAGGGGGGCAAAGUGACAGGUGGUGCAUGAUUGUCGUCAGCUCGUGUCGUGAGAUGUUGGGUUAAGUCCCGCAACGAGCGCAACCCUUAAGCUUAGUUGCCAUCAUUAAGUUGGGCACUCUAAGUUGACUGCCGGUGACAAACCGGAGGAAGGUGGGGAUGACGUCAAAUCAUCAUGCCCCUUAUGAUUUGGGCUACACACGUGCUACAAUGGACAAUACAAAGGGCAGCGAAACCGCGAGGUCAAGCAAAUCCCAUAAAGUUGUUCUCAGUUCGGAUUGUAGUCUGCAACUCGACUACAUGAAGCUGGAAUCGCUAGUAACCGUAGAUCAGCAUGCUACGGUGAAUACGUUCCCGGGUCU
rnacentral:rRNA from 1 species